rnacentral:rRNA from 1 species
GUCGAGGGGCAGCGGGAGUAGCAAUACUUGCCGGCGACCGGCGCACGGGUGCGUAACACGUAUGUAAUCUACCUUUAACUGGAGGAUAGCCCGAAGAAAUUCGGAUUAAUACUCCACAGUAUUAAGAGAGGGCAUCUUCUUUUAAUUAAAGCUACGGCGGUUAAGGAUGAACAUGCGUCUGAUUAGCUAGUUGGUGAGGUAACGGCUCACCAAGGCAACGAUCAGUAGGGGGUCUGAGAGGAUGAUCCCCCACACUGGUACUGGGAAACGGACCAGACUCCUACGGGAGGCAGCAGUAAGGAAUAUUGGACAAUGGUGGCAACACUGAUCCAGCCAUGCCGCGUGAAGGAUGAAGGCCCUAUGGGUUGUAAACUUCUUUUGAACGGGAGAAACCCCGGGUACGUGUACCCGGUUGAUAGUACCGUUAGAAUAAGGGACGGCUAACUUCGUGCCAGCAGCCGCGGUAAUACGAAGGUCCCAAGCGUUAUCCGGAUUCAUUGGGUUUAAAGGGUGCGUAGGUGGAAUGAUAAGUCAGUGGUGAAAUUUUGCAGCUUAACUGUAAAACUGCCAUUGAUACU